rnacentral:rRNA from 1 species
GGAGGCAGCAGUGGGGAAUAUUGCACAAUGGGCGCAAGCCUGAUGCAGCCAUGCCGCGUGUAUGAAGAAGGCCUUCGGGUUGUAAAGUACUUUCAGCGGGGAGGAAGGGAGUAAAGUUAAUACCUUUGCUCAUUGACGUUACCCGCAGAAGAAGCACCGGCUAACUCCGUGCCAGCAGCCGCGGUAAUACGGAGGGUGCAAGCGUUAAUCGGAAUUACUGGGCGUAAAGCGCACGCAGGCGG